rnacentral:rRNA from 1 species
UGAGUAACGCGUGGAUAACCUACCUAUAAGACUGGGAUAACUUCGGGAAACCGGAGCUAAUACCGGAUAACAUGUUGAACCGCAUGGUUCAACAGUGAAAGACGGUCUUGCUGUCACUUAUAGAUGGAUCCGCGUCGCAUUAGCUAGUUGGUAAGGUAACGGCUUACCAAGGCAACGAUGCGUAGCCGACCUGAGAGGGUGAUCGGCCACACUGGAACUGAGACACGGUCCAG